UCACCAGGUAUGCAGCUCCAG
rnacentral:misc_RNA from 1 species